rnacentral:lncRNA from 1 species
CCUUACGAGUAUAAGUCGCCACCGCCACCAUCACCUUCACCACCACCUCCUUAUGUUUACAAAUCGCCACCUCCUCCAUCCCCAUCACCUCCACCACCUUAUGAGCACAAGGCUCCUGCUUAUGAGUACAAGUCACCACCACCACCAACUCCUUCACCACCACCUCCUUAUGUGUACAAGUCACCACCACCGCCAUCUCCUUCACCACCACCUCCUUAUGUGUACAAGUCACCACCACCACCCUCACCUUCCCCACCACCACCAUACUACUACAAGAGUCCUCCACCACCUUCUCCUUCACCUCCACCUCCUUACUACUACAAAUCUCCUCCACCACCCUCACCUUCCCCACCACCACCAUACUAUUACAAGUCUCCUCCACCACCAUCUCCCUCACCUCCACCACCAUAUUACUACAAGUCUCCCCCACCACCCUCACCCUCCCCUCCACCCCCAUAUAUACACAAGGAUCCACCAUACUAUUACAAGUCCCCACCACCACCUUCACCAUCUCCUCCACCACCAUACUACUACAAAUCUCCCCCACCCCCUUCACCGUCUCCUCCACCACCAUACUACUACAAAUCUCCUCCUCCUCCAUCUCCUAUUCCCAAAACACCUUACUACUACAAAUCUCCCCCACCCCCUUCACCAUCUCCUCCACCACCAUACUACUACAAAUCUCCCCCACCCCCUUCACCGUCUCCUCCACCACCAUACUACUAUAAAUCUCCCCCACCACCGUCACCCUCUCCACCACCACCUUACUAUUACAAGUCUCCUCCCCCACCUUCACCAUCUCCUCCACCACCAUACUACUACAAAUCUCCUCCUCCUCCAUCUCCUAUUCCCCAUACACCUUACUAUUACAAAUCUCCCCCACCACCUUCACCAUCUCCUCCACCACCAUACUACUACAAAUCUCCUCCUCCUCCAUCUCCUAUUCCCCGUACACCUUACUAUUACAAAUCUCCCCCACCACCUUCACCAUCUCCUCCACCACCAUACUACUACAAAUCCCCUCCUCAUCCAUCUCCCAUUCCCCAUACACCUUACUAUUACACAUCUCCCCCACCACCUUCACCGUCUCCUCCACCACCAUAUUACUACAAAUCUCCUCCCCCUCCGUCUCCUAUUCCCCACACACCUUACUACUACAAGUCCCCACCACCACCAAAGGUCCUUCCACCACCAUACUAUUACAAUUCUC